GCUCAACCGAAGAAGUGCAUCGGAAACUGGGAAACUUGAGUGCAGAAGAGGACAGUGGAACUCCAUGUGUAGCGGUGAAAUGCGUAGAUAUAUGGAAGAACACCAGUGGCGAAGGCGGCUGUCUGGUCUGUAACUGACGCUGAGGCUCGAAAGUAUGGGUAGCAAACAGGAUUAGGUACCCUGGUAGUCCAUACCGUAAACGAUGAAUGCUAAGUGUUGGAGGGUUUCCGCCCUUCAGUGCUGCAGCUAACGCAUUAAGCAUUCCGCCUGGGGAGUACGGCCGCAUGGCUGAAACUCAAAGGAACUGACGGGGGCCCGCACAAGCGGUGGAGCAUGUGGUUUAAUUCGAAGCUACGCGAAGAACCUUACCAGGUCUUGACAUACUAUGCAAAUCUAAGAGAUUAGACGUUCCCUUCGGGGACAUGGAUACAGGUGGUGCAUGGUUGUCGUCAGCUCGUGUCGUGAGAUGUUGGGUUAAGUCCCGCAACGAGCGCAACCCUUAUUAUCAGUUGCCAGCAUUAAGUUGGGCACUCUGGUGAGACUGCCGGUGACAAACCGGAGAAAGGUGGGGAUGACGUCAAAUCAUCAUGCCCCUUAUGACCUGGGCUACACACGUGCUACAAUGGAUGGUACAACG
rnacentral:rRNA from 1 species